rnacentral:rRNA from 1 species
UGGCGGCGUGCUUAACACAUGCAAGUCGAACGAUGAACCUCCUUCGGGAGGGGAUUAGUGGCGAACGGGUGAGUAACACGUGGGCAAUCUGCCCUUCACUCUGGGACAAGCCCUGGAAACGGGGUCUAAUACCGGAUAACACUGCGGAUCGCAUGGUCUGCGGUUGAAAGCUCCGGCGGUGAAGGAUGAGCCCGCGGCCUAUCAGCUUGUUGGUGGGGUGAUGGCCUACCAAGGCGACGACGGGUAGCCGGCCUGAGAGGGCGACCGGCCACACUGGGACUGAGACACGGCCCAGACUCCUACGGGAGGCAGCAGUGGGGAAUAUUGCACAAUGGGCGAAAGCCUGAUGCAGCGACGCCGCGUGAGGGAUGACGGCCUUCGGGUUGUAAACCUCUUUCAGCAGGGAAGAAGCGAAAGUGACGGUACCUGCAGAAGAAGCGCCGGCUAACUACGUGCCAGCAGCCGCGGUAAUACGUAGGGCGCAAGCGUUGUCCGGAAUUAUUGGGCGUAAAGAGCUCGUAGGCGGCUUGUCACGUCGGAUGUGAAAGCCCGGGGCUUAACCCCGGGUCUGCAUUCGAUACGGGCAGGCUAGAGUGUGGU